GGAAGGGGUGGAGCCAGGAUCCAUCCCUUUCCCAGCCCUCAUUUAAGGGUUGGCAGUGGGGGGUGAGGGUGUUUUGCUGGAGAUCCCUGCCUGCCUGAGGUCUUCUAAAGCCCUGUGUGCCAUGGUCUUCAACGCUGGAUGGAGGAAAGAGGUUUGAAGGGGUGAGGAGCUGUGGGAUUAGGCAACAUUUGUUGGCCACAGCUGAAGUCCUCUGAAGGUAGAUGUAGGAGCUGGCACCGCCUCGCUGCUUUAUUUGGGUUUCUGAUCCGUUCCUGGAAUGUAAAUUAAAGCAGAGGGAAAAUACAUGGAGUCAAAUCCUGCUGCUGGGUUGCGUAGCUGCAGCAUCCCGAGGAUGUGACACAGGAGAUGGAAGUUGUCAGGAGAGCCACACACCUCCAGCAUCCUCCAGAGCGUGCAUAUGGAGCUGACACUCAAUAAAUAAUACAGGAUUCAGGAUUGAGAUGCAGGGAAGCGCUGUGCUCAGAUGGAGUGCUGUAGGCUCAGAUUGCUGCCCAAUGUCCUGGAGUGGGAAGGGGAAAGCAUCAGUGGGGCAGAAGAGCCCAGACCGGUGUUAGUCCUUGGCAGAAGAGCUUUUCCUUGCUUGGAGCAAGCAGCAGCACUGGGCUUGGGGUUACAUUCAGUGCUCUGUGCUCCCCACUGCCAGGCUGCGAUCUGCUGAUGCUCUAUGCGGUAAUUAAUGCACCGCUAAUUGGAUUUCCAGGGCCUGGAGCUGAGGGGCAGCGGCUGCAGCAGGGGAAGGGACUGAGAGCUUUGCCCACAUCCCCCAGCAUAGCUCUGCACCCGAUGCCCCACUGCUGAUAGUGAUGGGCACCACUUCUCCCCUUCUCCAACAAUCCAUUGCCCGUCUGCAUUAAUGCCUUCCCUCCUUUUUGGUCACCUAAUUCAACAGAGGGGAUUAAAGCAUAACUCCCAUAGCACAGAGGCUGCAGCAAGCUGUGGUUCCCCCAAGUUCCUGAUGGAGCACAGCCCCUCUCCAAAUUAUUCCCAGCAACAGACUAUGGCUUCUUGUCCACCUUGCAAACUGAGGGGGGAGGGCUGGGAAGACCUUUUAUUUUAUUAUCAUGGAUUAAUCAUCGUAAGGGGAGCACGAAGGAUAGGUCAUAAUAAUGGGGGUUUGAAUUACACUUCUAAACUUGGGGCCCCUAAGCCUAAUGAAAUGAGAGUGCACAGCUCAGAGCCAGGUUAAGAGGCUGUGGUGGCUGCUGCCCCUAUGGGAGCACCCGGUGCUGCCUUCCUGAGAGCUCCCAGGGGUCGGAUGGGUUGCAGAGGAGGAGUGUGAGGCACAGCUCAGAGCAGGUCCUGCUCCUGCCUCGGUGUGGGGCUGUCACAGUGUUUGGCUCAUAGCAGCAGGGCCUGAUGCAGAGGGGCCCCACUGGAGGCAGAAAGUCCCUUUGGGGUGAAAAGCCUCGCAGGACAGGGAUGAGCUGCAGGUGAAGUCUGCUGUGUCCAUCCAGCCCCCCCCCCCGCACUGAUGUCUGGGGCUUUGCCACCCCAAUGGGCAUCAGCAGUGCAGAUGGAGACAACAGCUCCAUCCAACUGUGUGUGCCCAACACCCUCCAACACCCUCGAUGACUCCGUGUCUUCAUUUCCAUCAUUCAGCACUAAAUUCUAUCACUUCCAUCAGACAGAGCUGUGAAGAAGGAAUUCUCCUUCACCUGAGUGCCCUUCCCCAGCACCACCGCCUUGCACAACCGCACUGCUUGCAUGGAGGAUCGAUGCCAUCCUCCCUCCUAACACACAGGAAAUGGGGCUCCGUUUCAUUUCUCCUUCCCAUUUUCACUCUUCCUUCCCAAGGAUGCACACUGCUCCACAUACCCGCUGUAACCCGGGCUGCCCCGGGGGAUUUACAGCCUCCAUCCAGUUUUAUUGUUGAUACAGAUCUUUAUCUGCCCCGGGCUUAUAGCUGACAUUUAAAUUACACUGCAAACAAUGAAUCAAUAUUUAUGGAUUACCGGUCCAAUACAUUCACCCAACGAGUUGUUAUGGGAUUCGGUCUCCCAGCAAACAGGACAAUGAGGUCAAGGUCAAGGCUUUGUCUGAUGAGAAACAGGCGCAGACAGGAGCUGCCAGCCCAAUAUUGACUGCCUAAUAGGAAUGCAUUUAUGUUGGUCAUUUAGCUGCACGCAUUGAGCUCUUUGUUAAUUUUCCCAUUCUUGUCAUUUUCCUGCUGAUAAUUGUUCAUAAUUUAAAGCCCUGAGCCCGGAGUGCUUCUCCUGCCCACAGCAACACAGGAGCAGAGGUGCCCAUGUGGAGCAGUGUGCACACUCAUACUCGUGCUCACGCUUGUGUAAUCCUGGUGCAUGCGGAGCUUGGGUUAUCUGCUGUGUUGGAGCAGAAAUGAUGCUAUUUGCUAUUCUGUUUCACUUCUGUGCCACCUGGCAACUUAGGAACACUGAGUUAUUACAUUUUGUGUGGCCAUCGGAAAGCAGAGGGAGACUAUUGCUUUGAUGAGAGGGCUACAAUUUGCUAAGCCUUGGCUCCUGGCUUCCCAGAGCUGCACAGCGCUGCCAGCUGAGCACAAACAAGGUCAGUGUGCGCUCACUGUUCCCACGCAGAGCCUCCAGACGUGUGCAUGAGGAGGUGAGCAGCCAAGGUCACGAGACAGGAAAAUGAGAGCAGCUCCACUGGCUGGGAGCUGUUUCUGCGUGCCAUGGGGCUGCUCCCUGCAUUGUGCACCACGGGGCUGCUCCUUGUGUGCAAUGGGGCUGCUCCCUGCCUUGUGCGCCACGGGAUUGCU
rnacentral:lncRNA from 1 species